rnacentral:rRNA from 1 species
AAUGGAGGCAACUCUGACCCAGCCAUGCCGCGUGCAGGAAGAAUGCCUAUGGGUUGUAAACUGCUUUUAUUUAGGAAUAACCCCUUUACGUGUAGAGGGCUGAAUGUACUAAACGAAUAAGCACCGGCUAACUCCGUGCCAGCAGCCGCGGUAAUACGGAGGGUGCAAGCGUUAUCCGGAAUCAUUGGGUUUAAAGGGUCCGCAGGCGGAUGUAUAAGUCAGUGGUGAAAUCCUGCAGCUUAACUGCAGAACUGCCAUUGAUACUGUACAUCUUGAAUUCGGUCGAAGUGGGCGGAAUGUGUAGUAUAGCGGUGAAAUGCAUAGAUAUUACACAGAACACCGAUAGCGAAGGCAGCUCACUAGGCCUGGAUUGACGCUCAGGGACGAAAGCGUGGGGAUCAAACAGGAUU